rnacentral:rRNA from 1 species
UACGGAGGGGGGCUAGCGUUGUUCGGAAUUACUGGGGCGUAAAGCGCACGUAGGCGGCUUUGUAAGUUAGAGGUGAAAGCCCGGGGCUCAACUCCGGAAUUGCCUUUAAGACUGCAUCGCUAGAAUUGUGGAGAGGUAAGUGGAAUUCCGAGUGUAGAGGUGAAAUUCGUAGAUAUUCGGAAGAACACCAGUGGCGAAGGCGACUUACUGGACACAUAUUGACGCUGAGGUGCGAAAGCGUGGGGAGCAACAGG